rnacentral:misc_RNA from 1 species
UCCGGUUUGUCACCGGCAGUCCCAUUAGAGUGCUCAACUAAAUGUAGCAACUAAUGGCAAGGGUUGCGCUCGUUGCGGGACUUAACCCAACAUCUCACGACACGAGCUGGCGACAGCCAUGCAGCACCUGUGUCCAGGUUCCCUUUCGGGCACCGCUGCAUUUCUGCAGCGUUCCUGGCAUGUCAAGGGUAGGUAAGGUUUUUCGCGUUGUAUCGAAUUAAACCACAUCAUCCACCGCUUGUGCGGGCCCCCGUCAAUUCCUUUGAGUUUCAACCUUGCGGCCGUACUCCCCAGGCGGCAUACUUAACGCGUUUGCUUCGCUACCGAGGGAGUUUAUACCCCCAACAGCUAGUAUGCAUCGUUUACGGCGUGGACUAC